rnacentral:rRNA from 1 species
GUGCCAGCAGCCGCGGUAAGACGUAGGGCGCGAGCGUUGUCCGGAUUUAUUGGGCGUAAAGAGCGUGUAGGCGGCCAGAUAGGUCGGCUGUGAAAACUCGAGGCUCAAACUCGAGACGUCGGUUGAAACCAUCUGGCUAGAGUCCGGAAGAGGAGAGUGGAAUUCCCGGUGUAGCGGUGAAAUGCGCAGAUAUCGGGAAGAACACCCGUGGCGAAGGCGGCUCUCUGGGCCUUACCUGACGCUCAGGCGCGAAAGCUAGGGGAGCGAACAGGAUUAGAAACCCGGGUAGUCC